CCUACGGGAGGCAGCAGUAGGGAAUCUUCCACAAUGGACGAAAGUCUGAUGGAGCAACGCCGCGUGAGUGAAGAAGGGUUUCGGCUCGUAAAGCUCUGUUGGUAGUGAAGAAAGAUAGAGGUAGUAACUGGCCUUUAUUUGACGGUAAUUACUUAGAAAGUCACGGCUAACUACGUGCCAGCAGCCGCGGUAAUACGUAGGUGGCAAGCGUUGUCCGGAUUUAUUGGGCGUAAAGCGAGUGCAGGCGGGUCAAUAAUACUCAUGUGAGAGACUUCGGCUCAAACGGGGAAUUGCAUAAGA
rnacentral:rRNA from 1 species